CACGUAGGGCGCAAGCGUUGUCCGGAAUUAUUGGGCGUAAAGAGCUCGUAGGUGGUUUGUUACGUCCGCUGUGAAAUCCUAGGGCUUAACCCUGGGCUUGCAGUGGAUACGGGCAGACUAGAGGUAGGUAGGGGAGAAUGGAAUUCCCGGUGUAGCGGUGAAAUGCGCAGAUAUCAGGAGGAACACCGGUGGCGAAGGCGGGUCUCUGGGCCGAAACUGACGCUGGAGGAGCGAAAGCGUGGGGAGCAAACAGG
rnacentral:rRNA from 1 species